GUGAAGAUUGCUGUACAAAUCUGUUGCUAAAAAUAGGCAUGCUUUUCUGCUGAGUAUCUACCUAGAAGUGCAUUGCUGAGAAAGAAGGAAUACACAUCUCCACUUUAGUGGAUAAUACCAAGCCUCUUCCUUUAGUGACCAGAACCAAAUGUAUGAUCCAAGAGAGCUUCCAUCACUCUCCACUGUCAUCAGUCCCUGGCAUGGACACUCUCUUUCAUCUUAGCCACUUAGAGUUUCGCUCUUGUUACCCAGGCUGGAGUGCAAUGGCUCCAUCUCGGCUCACCGCAACCUCCGCCUCCUGGGUUCAGGCAAUUCUCCUGCCUCAGCCUCCUGAGUAGCUGGGAUUACAGGCACGCUCCACCAUGCCCAGCUAAUUUUUUGUAUUUUUAGUAGAGACGGGGUUUCAGCAUGUUGACCAGGAUGGUCUCGAUCUCUUGACCUCGUGAUCCACCCGCUUCGGCCUCCCUAAGUGCUGGGAUUACAGGCUUGAGCCACUGCACCCAGCCAACUGAUCCUUUCUUAACCUGAAUCCAACUGAACAGACCCUGGCCAGACUGUCCAAUCAGAUCCAGAGGAGAAAACAGUGCCAAUCUGAAUGAGUCGACUCGAUCAGUUCAAAACGACAAAUCACAAACUGGCAUUAUGGACGAGCAUUUUAUGAUAAAACUCUGCUCGUGUGGCUUUUGCUGCAAAGUGGGAAACGGUUCUAGGAACUUACAGCUGUAAUGAGAUCAAACAGUGCAUAAAACGGAGGUCUGAGGUGGAGAUCUGGGCUUCGACAUGCAGAAAUAAGAACUGAGGUGUGUUGGGUGCUUUGCUGCUGGCAGCGUCCCCAUGCGUCUUCUCCAGCUGACUCCAGCCUGAUUCUCAGACACCUCUGAAAGCGUGGUGGUGUUCUCUUAUACGUGUUAGAGAUGAGGAAACCCAACGUCUGACAAGCUGUCUGUCCACCUGUUUGGCAGGGGCUGAACUGUGUUUCCCCACCAAGUUCAUCUGUUGAAGCCUUAACCCACAGUACUUCAAAGUGUGCCUUUAUUCGGAGAUCAUCUUU
rnacentral:lncRNA from 1 species